AUGAACGCUGGCGGCGUGCCUAAUACAUGCUAGUCGAGCGAACGGACGAGAAGCUUGCUUCUCUGAUGUUAGCGGCGGACGGGUGAGUAACACUUGGAUAACCUACCUAUAAGACUGGGAUAACUUCGGGAAACCGGAGCUAAUACCGGAUAAUAUUUUGAACCGCAUGGUUCAAAAGUGAAAGACGGUCUUGCUGUCACUUAUAGAUGGAUCCGCGCUGCAUUAGCUAGUUGGUAAGGUAACGGCUUACCAAGGCAACGAUGCAUAGCCGACCUGAGAGGGUGAUCGGCCACACUGGAACUGAGACACGGUCCAGACUCCUACGGGAGGCAGCAGUAGGGAAUCUUCCGCAAUGGGCGAAAGCCUGACGGAGCAACGCCGCGUGAGUGAUGAAGGUCUUCGGAUCGUAAAACUCUGUUAUUAGGGAAGAACAUAUGUGUAAGUAACUGUGCACAUCUUGACGGUACCUAAUCAGAAAGCCACGGCUAACUACGUG
rnacentral:rRNA from 1 species